GGAAAGGACUUCUGGUUGGAGAUCCCUCUUUUGUGGAGUUUUCCUUGUGAGCCUAGAUCUUUGGAGAGGGGAACAUGACUGGCCACUGCAAUGCUUUACCAUAUGCAACACCUUGGGACUGUAUCGCUACCUGGAUCUCAGCAGUAAUUGUCUCUCAAAUCCUCAGAAAUUUUACAACUAAGGGUGGACCUGAGGAAGGCUGUUCUUAACCCUUACAGCUCUGGAAAACCCAUGAAAGCAAGAACUGAUGUAGAUGGGGAAGGAGUUGGAUGAACUGUGAUUUGCAAGACUGUGAAAUGCCACAGGAUUUAGAGUGAAUCGCCUCUAGCCAAAGAUCUCCUAACAGCACUUUGUUUGCACUGAAAACUAUUUGAAAGCACCUGGCAAAGCCUGGAACUACACAGUCACCUUAAGGCAGACUCUUCCUGGAGUCCCAGCAGCAGAUUAAAACCAGAACUUCUCCUGUGGAAGUUCUUAGCUCCACAGACAAAGAAAGGCUAUAGUGCAAGCAGGUAGCUGACAGCUGAAAGGCAUAAGUGGUUAUAGUUAUCACAGAUGGGGAAAAAAUCCUGAGCAGGGAGCGAAAAAGCAGUCCAGUUAGGCUUGGCAAUACUUUGCGUGCUGCCAUUUUCAAGAAGGAUGAAGUGAAAACACUGAAAAAUGUACAGCGAUACUGGCAUUUGACCUCAGAGGUCCCAUUUCUUUACCAAGACUUACAAAUGCUCAGUGUUCAUGGUCCUGCUGUUUGAUAAAAUACUUAACACUGACCAUGUUCAGGUACCCGUGAGGACAGGAAGAGCUCUCCAUGUUAUCUUUCCAAAUUGGAGGAACAAUCAAGAAAGAAAUGAAGACCUUAAUUUUAUCCAGACAAAACAGUUAUGGAAAUAUGAAGUGGAAAAUAGCUAGAUGUGUGGUGGUUGUUCAGAAAAGGUGAUGGAAUAUUCCAGUUAUUCACAGGAUGAGGAGGGUUUGGGAUCAAAACUGUACAGUUUUGGCAUAGCACUUCCAGUUUGAGAGAGGCCAUUAAGAAUGAUCAGUCAUCUUAAAAUACUAUCUGUGAGGCAAGCCUGAAAGAGGUAAACUUUUUGUAGUCAAGAGAAAACUUGCAAUUCUGUGGUAGGCGUCAUAGAAACCUUCAGAAGAUAAAAGGGUCUGUGCUCACGGUGGAUAAACUUAAAGUUUGAAGGACUCAGGAAAAAUGUGAAAAGCAACCUGCUAUGUCAGAACAAGAAAGCCUUGCAGUAGAACAUCUGAAAAGAUAUCUUAUGGGCAGGUUAGACAACAUUUGAUAAAACUGAUACGGAAGAAGUCACUCUGUUGCAGGACAGAAAGGUAGAACAGAUAGUUCUGUUUUUCUCUGAAACUUUCUAUUGUUGUGAACCUCCACUCUUUUUGCUUUCAGCAGUCCAUGACAAUCUGUCAUGUAGCACUUGGAACAAGGAUGUAUCAACUUCCAUUGAACUUCAAUUGCUAGCUCCAAAGCAGAUGUCUUUUUGUCUCUGCCCACUUUUCCAAGUCUUAUUUUCCUGUUCUGGUUUGAAGAUCAAACUCCAAAGUUUGCACCUUUGAAAAAAGUUCAAAUCUUAUUGAACAGUUUUCAAGAAGCCCGGCUCUAUGUUUUCAAACUCUGUAAUAGUACAAAUUUCUUAUUCUACAAGCUUAUUUUGCCAUUUUGAUGUUUCACCUUCUCUGCGCUUACAAUAUAGCAAGAGUUCUUAAAUAUUUUAGAUGUUCAAGUAUUACUGGCAUUAUAGGAUACCAGGGAAAUUAAAUUAGCAGAAAUAAAUAAGGUGUGCCUCUGAAUUUGAGCUU
rnacentral:lncRNA from 7 species